UUGAGUUUAGCUCAGUUGGUUUGGGCCUGGAGCUAAUAAUGCCAGGGUUGUGGGCUCAAUGCCCAUCCAUUUAAG